rnacentral:rRNA from 1 species
ACGACGCUGGCGGCGUGCCUAACACAUGCAAGUCGAGCGGAGAUGUACUGAAGAUUUAUCGGAUGUACAUCUUAGCGGCGGACGGGUGAGUAACGCGUGGGCAACCUGCCUUCCACUGGGGGAUAACACAGGGAAACCUGUGCUAAUACCGCAUGACAUCACAUAGGGCAUCCUGUGUGAUCAAAGGAGUGAUCCGGUGGAAGAUGGGCCCGCGUCCGAUUAGCUAGUUGGUGAGGUAACGGCUCACCAAGGCGACGAUCGGUAGCCGGACUGAGAGGUUGGCCGGCCACAUUGGGACUGAGACACGGCCCAGACUCCUACGGGAGGCAGCAGUGGGGAGUAUUGCGCAAUGGGGGGAACCCUGACGCAGCGACGCCGCGUGAAGGAAGAAGGCCUUCGGGUUGUAAACUUCUUUGAUGAGGGACGAAGGAAGUGACGGUACCUCAAAAACAAGCCACGGCUAACUACGUG